UUAGGAUGGGUAAAGCAUCCUUACAGGCAGCAGGACAUUCACAGAGCCCAGCCAGAGUGCCCCAGCAAACACUUGCUCUCCAUGGACAGCACAAUGCCUGGGACACAUCCCGUUCCCCAAGCAGGCCGCGAAUGGAGAGUUACGUGGAAAGCAUUGGCACCAUGAAUAGCCACAGCACAAAUUCCUCGUGUCAGGUCUUCUGUAACUUAUGUCCCCUUCAUGCCAAAUGGCACUGGGAGCUGCUUUUCUUCUGAGGGGAGACUUCGAACAUAAGACAACCACUUGGCUUUGGAGGAGCAAGAAAGUGAUAUGACUCCUUCAGUGCUGGUGAGACCUCAGAGGCCUCAGAGCCCUGCCCUGGCUCAGCAUGAAGAAGAAAAACCACACAAGCAGCUCCUUGGAGGCA